rnacentral:lncRNA from 1 species
CUUGAAAUAAUUCAAAACAAGGGAAUGUUCAGCUCUGCUCAAAAAUGUUCAUUAUGAACAUUACAGGAUGCUGAUUUGUGCAGCCUAAGCACAAUCCCAACAGUGUGUUUCUAAAUGUUUUAAUCUAAAACUCAACAUUAAUUCUGAUGAAAUGCUACUGUGGUUGAUAAGUUUUAGUCCUGGGAAUCUAGUAUCUUGCAUCUAUUCUUGAUUUUCUACAGACUUGUUUCCUGGCUUGUCCUUACUCUUCACUUAGAAGCUUCAAGCUGUAUUCCUAAAUCCAAGGUGUCAAUGAAGGGUGAACUGUAUCAAGCACAGGAACUGGGAACUAAAUCAAGUCUGAGCCUUGAUCAACUACUUGCUUUGGGCAGUUCCUGGGUUUCCCACCUAUCUCUGUGUUGUACUUCCCAGCUGAGCAUUACCAGAGUGUAGCCUAUUUUUAUUCUUUUCCGUGCACUGCCUGUGGCUGAAAAGGAAAUGGUUUCAUUUAUUUAUUUAUUUUUAUGAAAGGGCAAUAGCAUUAAAGAUGAGCCAAAACAAACCCCAAAGAUUUGGCUCCUAUAUUUUAAGUGGAAAUCAACUGUGUCCAGUUCUGUAUCUAAUCCCUG